GGUAUAGCUCAGUGGAAAAGCACUUGCCUAGCAUGUACCAGGCCCUGGGUUCAACCUCCAGCACCA
rnacentral:tRNA from 1 species